rnacentral:misc_RNA from 1 species
AUUACCAUUUUGCCACCCCUUUUUCUCUCGCAGACUCCCAGUCAUCGUCGCUCUCCUUCCAUGGCCUCUGUAACUCCGCCAUCCACUCAGGCUGUGUCACCUGGGGAUGUUAAUAGUGACGCCAAUGUGUUUCAGUUGAUACAAACUCACCAGGAAAAGGCUGCUCGACUUCCUCCGGUUGAGGAAAUUAGAACUGUGCUUUAUUACAGUGCGCGAGGCGUGCUUUCAACUUUUUCUCAGAAGCUUGUGGGUUAUCCAUCGGCGUCAAUGGUUGAUUUCGCAUGUGAUGUCGAUGGAACUUUGAUAUUAGCAGUGAGCAGCUUGGCAAAUCAUGCAAAGGACCUCUUAGCUAAUCCCAGAUGCUCAUUGCUUGUUGCUAAAGAUCUGGAGGAUAGGACUGAUUUGGUAAUCGCCCUGCAGGGUGAUGCUGUUUCUGUUUCUGAGAAGGAUAGAAGUACCAUUCGAACUGCAUAUCUGGCAAAGCAUCCCAAUGCAUCAUGGGUUGACUUUGGUGACUUCCAAUUCAUUCGCAUUGAACCAAAAGUUGUGCGAUAUGUGUCAGGAGUUGCAACUGCUUUACAUGGAUCAGGAGAAUUUAGCAAAGAAGAAUAUCAGGCUGCUAAAAUUGAUCCAAUAGCUCAGUUUUCUAAACCUGUUGCGUCUCAUAUGAAUAGAGAUCAUGCUGAAGAUACAAGGCUCAUUGUCCAACAUUCAACAUCAAUUGCGGUGGACUCUGCCUACAUGCUAGACACUGAUAGUCUUGGAUUCAACGUUAAGGCUGCUUAUCAAGGAAAUACUUACAAGCUUCGCAUUCCUUUUCCUAGACGCACUGAAGAGAGAAAGGAUGUGAAGACUCUAGUUGUGGAAAUGCUUCAAGCUGCGAAGUCUCAAUUCUCAAGUUAAAUGAUACCAUGCCGAGAAGGGAACAAAUAGGAUUCUGCAGCACAUUACAAUCGCAGCCUAGUUGAUAAUUGAUAUGAAUGUAGCAAACAAAAUACACAUAUAAAUGCUAAAAACUAAACAAUCACCAGGGUCUUGGCGGCUUGCUCCUCAUACAUACUAUUGGACAGCAUACUUAGCAGCUCAAGGGGUGCAGUCAAAGAGUUGAAUUAUAAGCUCAAGAAAUGUUUGAUUGCAAACUGAUGUAAAAAUUUGUAAAACCAUAAUACUAACGCAUGUUUCUUCUCCUCUAGUAUUUUCUAUGGUAAGAAUGUUUUGAAUCCCCAUAGAUUUGGAUUAAGAGAGCUAAUAAUGUGAGAUCUC